AGAUGAGAGUGUUCCGAAAGGAGUUCGGUGAAACGAAUCAUGAGGCUGAAUAUAUCUAAAAAAAUAAAAUCCCACCCCAAUCCCUGCCCUUAUCAACCACACCGACCGGCCACUACCUUCCCCUCUCUCUGUCUCACAUAAACCCAACCUCAUUACGCCAGCUAUCCCUACCCACCACCGUUCUUCUAAAAUCAAACUAAAUUCAGUGUUUGCAUAGUAAGUGAUUAUUCUAAGGGAGACUUUGGAUGCGGUUCUUAGUUAUGAAUAUUCUUUGAUUGAAACCUUGUUGGUUUUUAAAAUUUUAUCGAGGUCCCUGAAAUUAAUGUGAUAAUUUAUUUCACAGUUCGUUCCUAUAUUUUUUAAAUUAAAAAUUAGAAAUUUUAGGUGUUUAUAUAAAUGAGAUUUUAAAUAAAAAAACCAUAAUUUGUGGGAUUAAAAAUAUUAAAAUAUAAAUAUACUAUUGUGUGUGUGUGUGUGUAUGUGUGUGUGUAUAAACAUGGGUACAUUCAUCAAAAUUAACCAAAAAAUUUAUUGUAUCAAAACACAGGUAGAUUCUUCAAAAUCACCAAAAAAAAAAACAAUAUUAGGCUUAAUAACAUUAGUAAAUUUCUUCGAUUAAACUUGAAAUGGAUACAUUUUAAAAUCAAAGAAAAAAGAAUGUACCCAUAUAAGUUUAAAAAUGGAUUAGAAAAAAGUUGAAUAGAUUAUAUAUAUAAAAAAAAGGUACAUUUUACAUAUAACAAAUUGGUAUAUUUAAGAAUGAGUACAUUUUAAGAUUAGAAAGUUUUACAUGAAUGGGUUGAUGUGGUAAAAACUAACACACAAAUUAAACCCUAUUAAGAUAGUUGUAGGACAUGUAAGUAGGGAUCAUUCUAGGCCGGGGAUUAGUUAGGGAUGCUAAUCAACAUAAAUUAAACUUCAAAACUGAAAACUAGACUCAAAAAACUCAAAACAAGCUAAACUGACUCAAAUAACACAAAACUAAGUUAAAUUGACUCAAAACAAGAACUAGAGGGUGAUUUGGACGAAAAUUAAACUAAAAAGACUCAUAAUACUAAAUGGGGGUUGUUUUGACGAAUUUAAAUUACACCUAAGUACUUGCAGAAACAAACUAAAGGUAAUACGAAAUUGGAUGUUUUUAAGGGUGUAAGGCUAGCUAGAGGGUCCUUCUCCACACAUGACACAUAUGCAUAUAAAUCGAUUUCUAGUUAUUAUUCCUAUAAACCAUGAAUGACAAUGCCCUAAAUUAAUCGUGAAAGGCACAAAUUAACUUUCAGAUUUUCGUAAAUUCAUUGAAUUGGACUCAGUGACGUAACCAAAUUAUUCUUAUCAAGUUCCCUAUAUGAACAACAUGAUAAAGAUACAUAUCAAAACAUAUCAAAGAUCAUUAAGUUCUAUGAAAAUCAUAAGCAUUAACAUGGCAUUCGUAACUAUGAACUGCAUGAUACUCCUGCCAAGAAUUUACUUAACACAAUCAUGACUAGUGACUUUUACUAUUUGUGAAUUUCAUAACGAUUAGGUGAAAUUCCUUUAUAUUCUAGCAUCAAAUUCAUGCAUGCAAACUAAGUAUGCAUCCUUAAUCAACACACAAGAACAAGUUAUCAAUCAAACAGAUAAGUAAAUUGCAUUCACGAUUUACGAAACAAUAACUGGAUGUAAUCAAUUCAUAUCACAUAUAUGUUCAUGGCUUUGAAUUCACCUCUAACUAAAACAAAAUUAGUUCCACAUGUUCAUCAUAAUUGAAAACCAAAUUAAAAUAAACAUUGGACUAAAACUAAGGAUAGAAAGAACCCAGAAAUGCUCCAGCACUCCAAUGGCAGAUUU
rnacentral:lncRNA from 1 species